UACGGAGGGUGCGAGCGUGUCCGGAAUCACUGGGCGUAAAGGGCGCGUAGGUGGCGCGGGCAGUCAACGGUGAAAGUUCGGGGCUCAACCCUGAAUCGGCCGUCGAUACUCCCGGGCUUGAGCACUGUAGAGGCUAAUGGAAUUCCGGGUGUAGCGGUGGAAUGCGUAGAGAUCCGGAAGAACACCGGUGGCGAAGGCGGUUAGCUGGGCAGUUGCUGGACACUGAGGCGCGACAGCGGUGGGGAGCAAACAGGG
rnacentral:rRNA from 1 species